CGCUCAACAACCGCUGCUCUGGCCAAAAUCCGGCACGGUGGAAAUGAGACACCCUCCGCCCUCCAUUCUUCUUCCAUCUGCUGUUCUUUAAGCAUUCUAAUCGAUGUAACUGUUUCAUUUUAAAUUUCUCUCUUUCUGCGUAUGUUCUCCGAAAUCGAUUAUCCGAUCACGCUCUGGCGUGCAAAUCUCAUCUGUGAGUGAAAAAUACUGAUGAUUCAUACUCCUUUCUACGAUCGUCUCUUCUAGUUAUGAUUGAUAUUGUUUCCAUUAAGGUAAUGUAGCCAGCUCAUUGGCCUCUGGUUUUUCUCGGCCAUUGGCGAAGCAUUUGGAUCCUCACUUGAUUUUCUCUCUGGAAGGACCUGCAGUUUGUGGAUCAACAAGGGAUUUCAUAGAAAAUUUCUGCGUUGCCGAUUUGCUAAAGAUGGGCAUGAUCUUGAUUCUUUCAUACUUUGGCUCACAAGAUCAAAGGAAACUUCUUCGGAAAGGGAUCCAAAUCCAGUUUAGAUGUUUUAGUUACAAGUGAUGGUCUUUUACUCCUAUGUUUAUUACAUAAAGUUGGCGUCUUCGGCGAAAGUGAAGAAGGAAAACGUCGGCAUGGGUCAACAAGCGAUUCGAGCAAUGUCCCCAAACAUGUCGAGUCGAGAACUAGCAGACGGGUGUCUUGUAGAUGGAUGAGGAACCACAGAGGUUUUCAAGUUAGAACGUCAUUGUGGCCAAAAAGUCAUGGAAUUCGCGUAAGGAGCAGUUGAGUGUUGGUCUAUGGUAAGCACAGAAGAAAAUCUGUUGAGGUUGGGACUCAUUUGAAUGAGAUUCAUAGCUUGGGGAUGUCUGGAUCAUCCAAAUUUGUGCAUAGAGAAAGACAAUAUAGAAGAGGAAGGCAAAGAUGUUAGCAGCUGGCUGGGAUUUGUUCAAGGUAUACUAACUGUAAUAGUAUUUUUUAAUUUUUU